AAAGAUUUGUCCAUUGCCAUUAGAUCUGCACAGAAGAAAUAACAGCAUCAGAGCAACUGUUCAUUUAAGGGGACAAUUACAUUGAUGAGGAUUGAAGAUAAGAUGGUUUAUUCUCCAUCCAAUGCAUCAAGAGAAUGAUAUGGAGGUCUCUAUCCCUGAGGCUUAUCUGCUUUGGAACCUGCAACAGGAAAAGAGCCAAGUAUUUGGUAAUUAUCAGUUAUUUAUGAAACCCACAUUUUUCCAGGGAAGUAUUUGAGAA
rnacentral:lncRNA from 1 species